GAAGGCAGUGAGCUGUUUGCUUUUUUACAGCGAAGGUGAGAGGCAAGUUAUCUGUUGAAAGAGUAGAACGGGGAAGAGGAGUGUGUCUCUGAGUCAGGAAUAUUUGUGGACUUCAAAGAGGCGUGUUCGGAACAAGUCCCAAAGCUUUGGCAUGAUGUUUAUUAGCAAAGUUCAGUGAAUUGCAAAUUAAUACCCACAGUGGCAUUUAUGAAGUAUGUUGUACUUGUUUGUUUUUGGAGGUUCCCACUUUAGUUCCAGCCCACUGCCUGGGUUGGAAGUCCGAGAGGAAACGAACGCGGGGAGUUCUCCGGGAGGCUGACUUAUACUUCCUCACGGAUGCAGGAGAGAAUGGAGAGGAGGGUUCCUGGCUUCUGUUGUGGCGUCUUUUCUAUUUGACUUCAUGGUUGUAAGUAUUUCCAGAUGGUGAAUCAGACACCAGACGUAACAAUAUUUCCAUAUUUGGGUAUAGCAGUAGCCUGCGUUUUUAACAUUUUUCUGCCUCUGUUAUCCAACCACAAAGCAUUCUUGACAGCUUCAAAUGUUGUUAAAUAUAGAUUUAACUUCUCUUCCCAGAGCAGGAAAUUCUUUGGAAUUCCUUGUUUUUCACGCAAUCUGUCCAUCAUGAUUUAAAAUAA
rnacentral:lncRNA from 1 species